rnacentral:rRNA from 1 species
UAGGGAAUCUACGGCAAUGGACGAAAGUCUGACCGAGCAACGCCGCGUGAGUGAAGAAGGUUUUCGGAUCGUAAAACUCUGUUGUUAGAGAAGAACAAGGACGUUAGUAACUGAACGUCCCCUGACGGUAUCUAACCAGAAAGCCACGGCUAACUACGUGCCAGCAGCCGCGGUAAUACGUAGGUGGCAAGCGUUGUCCGGAUUUAUUGGGCGUAAAGCGAGCGCAGGCGGUUUCUUAAGUCUGAUGUGAAAGCCCCCGGCUCAACCGGGGAGGGUCAUUGGAAACUGGGAGACUUGAGUGCAGAAGAGGAGAGUGGAAUUCCAUGUGUAGCGGUGAAAUGCGUAGAUAUAUGGAGGAACACCAGUGGCGAAGGCGGCUCUCUGGUCUGUAACUGACGCUGAGGCUCGCAAGCGUGGGGAGCAAACAGG